rnacentral:rRNA from 1 species
UUGCACGCUGGCGGCAUGCUUUACACCUGCAAGUCGAACGGUAACAGGCCGCAAGGUGCUGACGAGUGGCGAACGGGUGAGUAAUGCAUCGGAACGUGCCCAGUCGUGGGGGAUAACUACUCGAAAGAGUAGCUAAUACCGCAUACGAUCUAUGGAUGAAAGCGGGGGACCGUAAGGCCUCGCGCGAUUGGAGCGGCCGAUGUCAGAUUAGGUAGUUGGUGGGGUAAAGGCUCACCAAGCCAACGAUCUGUAGCUGGUCUGAGAGGACGACCAGCCACACUGGGACUGAGACACGGCCCAGACUCCUACGGGAGGCAGCAGUGGGGAAUUUUGGACAAUGGGCGCAAGCCUGAUCCAGCAAUGCCGCGUGCAGGAAGAAGGCCUUCGGGUUGUAAACUGCUUUUGUACGGAACGAAACGGCUCUGGUUAAUACCCGGGGCUAAUGACGGUACCGUAAGAAUAAGCACCGGCUAACUACGUG